rnacentral:rRNA from 1 species
AUGAAAACCUACCACGGGGUUUCCCCAGGCGGCCGCCGCAGCCGUUCUCAAAUCGGCGCGAGCGAGGAAGCCGCCGAAAUGGCCGGCGCUCGCCGCAGUCGCCGCCGCUCCCAGAUCGCGGUGACCCGCCCCAGUCGCCGUAGCCGCUCCCAAAUCGGGGCGAGCGAGGAGGAUGAUGGGCUGGUCCGCCCCGGCCGCCGCCGCCGCUCCCAAAUCGGGGCGAGCGAGGAUCGCCGCCGCCGCCGCCGCACCUCUCCGGAGGCGCCUGUCCCUCUGCCGGGCGACGGCGAUACGCCGCGGAACGGCCGUCGUCCCCCCGCCCCGUGCGAGUCGCUGCCGUUGGAUAUGCUUUGGGAGAUCCUUCUCCUUCUGCCACCGCAGCCGUCGUCCCGCCUGCUCGCGUCCUUGGUCUCCAGGCGCUGGCGAGGCCUCGCCACCGACCCCAACUUCAUCCGCCAGUUCCAAGCCCGCCGCAGGAGCUGGAAGCCGCCCCUGCUCGGCUUCUUCGAGCGCCGACGGAAGAUCGUGUUCAACCAGGACAUCCUGCACCCUCCCGACCGUGUCCCUGCUGAGCGCAUCCACAUCCCGUUCGGCAUGGCCUCCCGUGGCUUUGAAGUUUUGGGGUGCCGUGGCGGCCGCGUGCUUGCCUUGCACCGGGUGUUAAGGCAGCUUAUUGUGUUCGCCCCCAUCACCGGUGAGCAGCGCUACCUGGCUGUUCCUGCCGAAUUCGGGCCGCCGUCCAUCCUCUACGGGGCGGUGCUCUGUGCUGCUGGCGAGCAGGACCAUGUGCACGGCCACUGUCAUUGCAGCCCUUUCAAGGUUGUCCUGGUGUCCCACAGAAGAGAUCAUCAACCACAGGCCUGUGUUUUUUCCUCGGAGACUGACACAUGGAGCAAUAUCAUAUCAACAAAGUAUCCAUGCGAGCUCCAUGGUGAUAGUGUUCCCGCGACCCUUAUUGGUAAUACACUCUAUUGGCUGCUUUCGUGCAAUGCCAUAUUUUGGUUUGAUUUGGAUAUGCAGAGCCUAGCUGUCAUCAUGGGGCCUCCUGGUAUGAAUGAAUCUGGCAACUAUAGGAUCAUCAAGCCUGAGGACGGCGCCGAUGGCCUAGCCAUAGCCAUAUUCCUCUUCCCGAACCUUCAGAUCUGGCAGAGGGUGAUUAACUCUCAGGGUAUUGCCACAUGGUUUUUGCGGAAGACUGUUGAAAUGCAUAGCACUCUUGGGAUCCCUCAUCAGACUAGGAGGAAGGUGUGGCAAGACAAAGUGCUGGGGUAUGAUGAAGAUAACGAUGUGAUCAUCCUCUAUGUGGAUGACAGUGCCUACAUGCUUGAACUUAAGCAAAUGCAAUCCAGGAAACUUAAUGGAACCCGUUCUAUGAAACAAUGUCAUCCUUUCACGAGUUUCUAUCCGCCAGACAUGGCCAUCUAA